GCAGUGGUGGUUCUAUGGUGGAAUACUCGCCCUACAUACAGGAGACCCAGGUUCGUUUCCUGGCCAGUGCA
rnacentral:tRNA from 1 species